CAGCUUUAAAUUGGACGGUGAGUCAUAUUAAUGGAAGGCCUUCAAGAAAUUUGGAAGAGAUAAUUGAAGAUUUUCCACCAUAGACAUCAAGUCAUCAUUUGUUGCCCCUUAAUGAAUCCUCUAGAUGAAAGAAGUCUGAGAUAUCUCCUGCCCCGUCUGACCAACUCCAAAGACACACGACACAUGGUGAUAGUUGUGAAUCCAGAAGAAUUGCUUCUAGCUUUAAUUGGUUGAGAUCAGCUUUAUACAGUAGAGGAUACGUGCUUGCGCUCAAGGAAAGGAAUGUAAGAAGAGACAUGUUUCUUGAUCAGGUAAGAACGACAACUUAAUGUAGGACAAAGUUCAUUUAAGCAUAAAGCAUUACAUGAGUCCAACUUAGCAAAUUUUAAUAUAAGCUAGCCAUUUAUGGCACCUACAAGCUUGAACUUUCUAAUCAAGGUGCUUUCCUUCACAGAAAUCAACCCCGAUUUGUCCAGUUAGGGAUUAUUAGUAUGGCAUCCAAGAGUACUGUUGGGGUUGUUUAAAAUGUGUCAGUUCACAUACGUUGGGAUUGAAUGUGUUAACGAUAUGUACUGGUUUGAAUAAAAUGACUCUGAAUGACACACUUAUGUGUUUCCCUGUAAGAGGGGAAGUUUUUUUCUGCAAAAACAAAAUGUGGUGAUUUUAUCAGCAUCCAAGAGAAUUGUGAAAGUACAAAUUAUUCUUUAUAAGCAGUGAGAUGGGAUUAGGUAAUACCUCCGGAGCUAUCUAGUCUUACAAUUAAGGUGACGCACACACUUUCUGUUCUCUAUUUCAGAUUUAUGGUUGGAAGGCCAUUGCUCUUAUUUCAUCCAAUGUGUCACUAAAAGACCGAGCACAGAUUUAUUAAUGAAAUGAUUUAGGAACGUUUUCUACUUUUAUUUUAAUUUACAAAUUGGAGAAAAGCAACAACAAGCGUAAAAGGUAUUAUUCAUAAUUCCUUGGGCUCAAAUCUGCAAAAAAUGAAAAUGAAAACUGGAAUAGGCGGCUGUUAAUCAUGGAAUCUAAUUUUAUCCCAAAGCAAACUUUGUUUUUCUUGCACGUUAGCCGUGUACCCCGCACCACCAUGAACAAGAAACUGUGAGAUCUUGUAAUGAGUAUCGAUAGACUAAUUCACUAAACUGAGAAUUCACCAGUAACUGCAGAUUUGAUAAAUGGGCGAGGGGUAAUAUGGGGAGAAAAGAGCAAAGGGUGAAAUGGGGAGAAAUGGGCGAGGGGUGAAAUAGGGAAAAAAAGGCACAAGGUGAUAUGUAGAGAAAUGAGUGAGGGGUGAUAUGGUGAGAAAUGGGCGAAUGGUGCUUGGAGUAACAUUUUAAUAAAUGCUCUCAGCUUAAUUUUUAUUUAAUCUUUUAACUAUAUGUAUUAUUGAUUGAAGAUAUUGUCAAUAUUUCUUAGAAAUGUUUGAAAAGUUAAGUGUGUUAACUACAUAUGGAGUUUAUUAAAUAAACUGUGAAUGUUGGUGAAUGCACAGACGAUCAGUGUAGGAAAAAGGAAGAACUAUACUGGGGCUAAACCAAAGAUAUUUUCAAACUUGGCAAUUUUGGCAAUUUUUUCCUAAUUCCAAGAUUAGCAAAUAAACUAAACUAUAUAAAAAACCCAAAUAUAUAUAGUAAAUUAUUUCCAGAUAUAUUAUUCACAUUUCACUAUAUCUCAAUCUAAAUGAUUUCAUGUUAAUCCCUGAGAAGUCUAUUUAUGGGUGGAGGAAGAUAUUUCACCAACGCUUGCAAUGUUCGUCACGGGGUAAUACUUUUCUAUAAGUGCUUCAUGGUUUUUUAAAAUCACUUUACAACUCACAUUGCUAAAUAUUUUCUGCGUGGAUGAAUAGAAUCUUUAAGUAAUCACCUGUGCUGACAGUUUUAUUUUCGUGUGGCCAGCAGCCACUUUUUACGACUUGUGCCAGCUUGAUCUCCAAACGCAGGUGUCAUAACAGCAGGAAAAUCUGUAAUUCUAGGUAUUACCUUAUCGUUACCCACCCAGUAACCAUUUCCAACGUAUUACCUGUCCAGAAAUAAAGUAUUUAUAGUGGCCCAAGUGCAGGGAUUGAAAUCAGAUGAUCUCUGCUCUGAAUAUAAGAAGAAAUCUUUGUGAAUAGCCCUUUUUUCCUGCUCGAUCAGUGGUGUCAGGGUAAUAAAUCUCUUACUUUCUUUGGAUGGGGGUCUAGUGAUUUAUAGUUAACACACGCACCACUUCAUAAACUCUUCAUAUGUCAUUUAAUAUGUUUCACAACCUGGAAGAGAACAUUGUAAGCAAACACUCAGUGGUAAAAGGAGUGAGCGAGGAGAUGCAUAAAUUUACAUUCAAACGUAAAAUGAAAAUAACACUCGGUACAAGGAAGUUCCAGUCCCAGCAUUAAAUAACAAAAAGGUACCACUAGGGAACUAAAUAACCCUGCCUGAGAGGCUCCAAGUGGGGGUAACCCACAACAAUUUAAUAUGAUUACAAAAUAGACAAGUAGGCCCAAAAAGGGCAUGUGAGUCCAAAGAUGGACAUCCCUCCAAUAGAUAAAAUAAUGGUAGAACAACUUUAUUAGAAUGUGCAACCAUUAGAAAAAAUAGAGUAAGAGACAGUACAUUUACAGAUUAAAAAGACAUGAGGCUGUGGAAUGAUGGGGGCUAAACACUGGGUUUAUACAAAUGCUCCUCACUUACCGACGGGUUCCAUUCUUACGACUCGGUCGUAAAAUUAAUUGGUCGGUAAGGGAGAAUGAGAUACAGAGCAUGCUCAUCAGUGCAGGUCUAUGUUCAGGGAAAUUUCCCCGAACGUAGACAAGUGCAUCAGAGCAGGGAAUCCCUCAAAUCUUUGUUCCUCUAAUCUAUGUUCAGGGAAUGUUCCCCAAACAUGGUGUACUUGUCUAUGUUCUUUUCUAUGUAUAGACCAGCUUUCUAACGUGGGGAAUCCCUUGAAUCCCCACGCUAGAGAGCUGGUCGUAAGUCCGAGUCAUUGUUAAACAGGUCAGUCGUAAAGUGAGGACUACCUGUAUUUAAGAAGGUAAUAUAAACCAACCAUUUCACAGAAGGAGUUAUACACCAGGGUCUUAAAGGACCACUAUAGUGCCAGGAAAACAAACUUGUUUUCCAGGCACUAUAGUGCCCUGAGGGUGCCCCCACCCUCAUGGACCCCUCCUGCUGGGCUGAAGGGGAAGGAAAGGUUUAAAAUCUUACCUUUCUCCAGCGCUGGGCUCCGUCGGCGCUGGGGACUCUCCUCCUCCUUCAGACGUCAUCGGCUGAAUGCGCAUUCGCGGCAAGAGCCGCGCACGCAUUCAUUCAGUCCAUAGGAAAGCAUUCUCAAUGCUUUCCUAUGGACGCUGGUGUCUUCUCACUGUGAUUUUCACAGUGAGAAGCGCGGAAGCGCCUCUAGCGACUGUCAACAAGACAACCACUAGAGGCUGGAUUAACCCAAUUGUAAACAUAGCAGUUUCUCUGAAACUGCUAUAUUUACAGCAGGCAGGGUUAACCAUAGAUGGACCUGGCACACAGACCACUUCAUUAAGCAGGGAUAUGCCCUGAUGCCACAGAAAGCCAAACAAAAGGUCUCACAAAAACGGAUUUUAAACUUAUUUGAAAAAAAACUACCACUAGAUACCGCUCUUCUGGUGAUAUACCAGGUGGAAAUGGUGGAGUAAAAAAAUAUAAAACAACAACCAACUUGUGUACAAUGUAUAACCACAAUAAUAUUAGAAUGGCAGAUUCUUCACAAGGUAGAUAGAAACCGGGCCACAAUGGACAUUUACAUAAUAUGCCCCCAAAGUUGUAAAAUAAAUCCUGCCUCAUAUGAGACUAGGUGUACAAAAAUCAAUUAUUAGGCAUAAUAUUUAGAGACCACUUAAGAAUCUGCUACAACAAUAUUUGAUUAAUGAAUAGUCCAAAUAUGAUUAUACGCAAGAGGGGCUAGAAAGUUGUUUAGUUUGUCUACCCCAGCAUAUUCCAUUCACCCUUUCUCUCAGUUUCAGAGUAAUUAUUAAUUGGGGUGGCCCUCCAACCUCCCUUAAUUUUUACCAAGGAGUUAUCCCCAUUGUAGUCCUAGCAGGGACUCUCCUCCACUGGUAUAUCAAGAAGCUAUCAGGAACAAGAGAAAACAGCUAUAGAAUAAUCCACCUCUUCCCCAGUAAACGGACGAUACAUGUUUCUGAGAGUACAACUGAAUUUUAUUCUCACAUACACAGAUUUUAUGCCCAGUCCCAUGCAAGGGGUUUUGUAACAGCACCCCCAGGCAUAAAAGGGGUUAAAAGCCGCUUAGGAGAUAUUCCCCUUCCAGAUAUACAGGCAGCUACCAAAGACACCAAUCCGUCGAACAGGAAACCAUAUGAAUGCCGUAAACGGCCGAAUAGGAAAAAACAUACGAAUAGGUUUACACUCCUAGCAGUCGAACCGGAACAGCAUACAAUAAAUCCCCCCCCAAGAACGAGACAAGGCUCCGUGUUGAGGGUCAAGCAGUGAACAGAGAGAGCUGUGGGUUUAUUGUUCUUAUAUACACAUUCUUACACAUUAGUACCACCCACAGGGUUUUGGAAAACAACCAAUAAACACGUACAAUAUACUCAGACACUCCCACACAAAAUCCUCCCCUCUGCCUGUGAUACAAUUACCUUACAUAAUGGGUAAUGUAAUUAUCAUAGGCAGAGAAAUACAGUUUUUCCACAUUAUUCAUAAUUUUAAAAGUAUGCAUCACAUUCACAUAAAACUUACAUUUUCAGAAUCAGCAUACUCCAAAUACAAACAUACGCCAAAAUCAUACAAAUUGGUCCAGUGGUUCAAAAGAUAGAUCAUAGUCCUUUUUUUGACCAAAUGAAGCAUGGCUUUUCUGCCCAAAACCACAAAGUCUUCUAUCCUGGAGAUAAUUGGGAAGUAAUCCAAUUAUCUUCAAGGACAGAGGCAAAACUCCAUUGAACACAUGGCAGCAAAAGACAAUAAAAUACUUAAAAAUAUAUAACUGUGCAGCCAUUGCAUAAAACAGGUACAUUCAACAUAUCCCCAGAUAGCUCAGAUCUGAGCGCACAUUAUUACUGAAUGGCGCUCAGAGCACACACAUACAGUUCAAUUGCCAUGGAGCCAAAGUCUUUCCCAUAGUCUUUCAUUAUACGAAUGGGCUCCAUGGCAUAUCUAUCUGGGGUAUCCCCGCUCAAACAGGGCAAGCACCGAAUGACCCGGCUUUCGUGUCUUUGCAGGGGAAACUCAAGCGUUUCAACAUGGGGCCAUAGUCUAAAGGCAGCAGGCGGUCAACCAGGCUCCUCCAAUGCACAGUGGCGAGAUUUGUCUCGUCACAGGUUUCAUACACAAGAAAUGCAGGGGUUUCAAUCCCAGAAUCCCCUGUGCCUAAAAGUGAUAUGCUUAAGUAAACUCCUCUAAUUUAAUUAUCUCUCAGGCACAGACAAGCCACAAAACAUCCUGUACCCCAAAAGUACCCCAACCAUACCUAGGAACCCCACAGAAAGUACAUUUCCUGAUAGCCCUGAUCUGAGUGUCCAACAUAUCCAAGAAUCACUCAGAUCGGUUUGGUAGAACAGUAAUGCCAUCGUGGUGAAGUUUUGACAGGCUAGACACGAAGCGCUAGCCGAAAAUAGUUCCAGUGAAAUAGGUGUCCUGGCUGGUCUCAGUUCGCGAGGUUCCUGUGCGAACGCCAUACAAGGGAAUUGCUUGCUUUCAGGGUACGAAUGCUCCCCCUGUUCGGUAGUUCAUAUCUCCUGAAUGCCAUUCGUGUAGGUGGUCUGGAACGGACAUCGGUCGGAGGUUUACCGGUGUUCGUGCAAGUGACUAGCCGAAAAGAGUUUCAGGUACUCGACAAGCAAGCACCACUGCCCACGUUCAUGAGACAAGAUGGCCGCCAUUCUUCUGCCACCCAGGGGAAGCAUUCAUUAAUUGUUUCCCUUGCGGUUUCACUCUUAAGUGGUUGGUGUCAACUUUCUAAUGUUGUAAAGGGGUGGUCAUGGUUAGGGAGACAAGGGGAUUCCAUUCGUAUGGAGUCUCCCGAACGGCCAAAGAGGAACCAGACAAAAACACAGGAAAAAAAUAUAUAAAAGGUGGUAAUUCAGCUACAGGGGAUACGGACAGCACAGAAAGGGGAAUAAAGAGUGCCAGGCAAGCGUCCACUCAGCUACACCCAUUAGCAACCAGUCCCAGCAUUACUGGACAAAUAAAGGAUACAGAAAUGGUGACAAUUAUUACCUAUACAUGACAAAAGUGGUGACCGUAUAAACAGGCAAGAUAUAAAAAAUAGCGGAGGACAUCUCCAUCUCAGAUCACAAAACCGGGUCUGUAAAUUCAGCAGGAUACAAGUAAAGACUUAUUACUGCAGGUUUAGUAAUAUCUAAAAAAUAUAUAAUAUUCUUCAUGUGUCCCAUGACCCUUCCUCGCCAUUUUUCUAUUCUAUCUGUGACAUCACUGCGGAAUGAGAUUGUACAGCUUGCUUUCAAUGUGUGCUUAUAUUGGUUCUGCUUGUGUGUCCAAGUAAACAGUUCCUUCAAUAAAGAAUAAAAGGGACACUAUCUCUCAUUGAAGUGCUUUGGGUGCAGUGUCCCAGUACCACUUAGUUCAGCAAUGUAAAUCCCUUCAGUUUUUGAGAAACUGUAAUAAUUACAUUGCACGAAAAAGACUGAAGACUGUCUAUAGUGGCUUUCAAUUAGACAACCACUAGAGGCACUUCCUGGUGGCUUACCGACAUUUGGUUGCCUGGCUCUGGAUGACCCCAUGCUCUGCAUGAACCAGACAGGUUUAGAGUGUUAGGAAUACAGAUACUAUAGAAUCCCUUCAAGCUAUGCAAAGAAUCAUGGGAUAUACACAACACCCCAAUAGAAAGUAAUGGAUUAACUAAGAUGUUUCAGCCGCCAUCAGGUCAGGAGCUGAAAUCUCAAGGUCAAAGCAUACAAAAGGGCGUGGAAGAUGGGACAUUGAGCGUGGCUGCAGAGAUUGGAGAAAUCAAACCAAGAGACAAUGGCAAAAUGAAGGAAUCUCAAUGGGGGUCGGGAGAGCAGGUGCCAACAAACUUUAUUUAGACCAACAUGUCAACUUUUAACAACCAACAGAAAGAGGGUCAAAUAACAAAGCUGCCUGAUACAGUAUGCUUUUAUAGCCCCAUCUAGUGGUUACCCAGCAAAUUACAAUUAUCUACUAAAACUACAUAAAUAAAAAGUUUUGGGUUCUAAAACGUAGAAAAGGUUUAUUUGCAACAAUAUCUUCAACAGGUUUUCCAAUGCAUUCAUACAUCAGGUGUGCACAUCCAAUACACCGCGGUAAAAUGCCAGUGAAUGCAGUAAGCCGGUGUGGCGGGACCACUGGCUGUCCAUGAAUUGCCCUCUUCUAUAUUCAUAGAUUCCCAUUAUAAAACGUGUUUCCCCAUGUAGUUUUAUUUUAACUGUGUAAUAUGCCUUUUGACCGCGCGGGGGUGCUCCCGAAUGAGGACCACCUUGGUGCCCCAUUAGAAUGUUCCCACCAAUUAAUCAGAACGUUUGCACUUGCAACAUAGGUGUGCAACCGCAAGGGAAGUAAUUAUUGAGCGCUUCCCUUGGGUGGCCGCCUUGCGGGGGCUUCGCACCGGGACUCCAGGGAUGGGUCCUUGAUGUUGGUGGGGUACUAGUGGUCCGGAUCACCCUAAACUAAAGGAGCCAUAAUCACUGUUCCCCUACUCGGGGGCUGCUAGGCCAGGCUCGUAGCUGCCCAAAGAGCGCUCCCCCGGGAUCUGCCUCAGUUUAGGUGCCCGCCGGGGAGAGGCGUGAGCCCCAGCGGGGAACCUGGGACUGUGAGUCGGCUUCACGGCCGCAAAGUCCCCGCUGGCCGUCUGGAAGUCUGUGCCAACCAUUCAAACUGGGUUUGCAACAUUUCCUGAUUGGGAGACACGAGGCAGCGUUGAUUGGUCACUGCAGUGCGCAGGUGACCAAUCAGAGAGGGAGCGCCUUCCAAACAGGGUUUUCGCACCCUUUCAUCUGAUUGGGCGGUGAAACCCCUCUCCUCCUCCAGUGCAGACUGGUGCAACAGAGUUUCGAGACCGCUCUUCGGAUUGGGUGGCGAAACUCCUCUCCUCCCCUGUAACGGCACCCCAGGCAUAAAAGGGUUUAACCGCCGUUUAGAAGAUCUUCCCCUUCCAGAGACACAGGCAGCUACUGUAAACACCAAUCCACCGAACAUAUGAAUGCUCUCAAACAUACAAAUACUGUAAACAGACGAAUAGGAAAAACCAUACGAAUAGGUUUACACUCCUAGCAGUCAAACUGGAACAGCAUACAAUAAAUUCCCCCAAGAACGAGACAAGGCUCCGUUUUGAGGGUCAAGCAGGAACAGACAGAGCUGUGGGUUUAUUGUUGUUAUAUACACAUUAGUACCACCCAACGGGUUUUGGAAAACAACCAAUAAACACAUACAAUACACUCAGACACUCCCACACAAAAUCCUCCCCUCUGCCUGUGAUACAAUUACCUUACACAAUGGGUAAUGUAAUUAUCACCGGCAGAGAAAAACAGUUUUUCCACAUUAUUCAUACCACACACAGACCACACACAUACAGUUCAAUUGCCAUGGAGCCAAAGUCUUUUAUUACAUGAAUAGGCUCCAUGGCAUAGCUAUCUGGGUUAAAUGAGUUCAUUCUGUAAAUCCGAGAAUCUACGGAACGCCAGAGCAGAAAUACAUGAAUAGACCUUUCUGCAUAGGAAAAUAAAGUACUUAAAUGCUGGUCCAUAGUCAAAAGGCAGCAGGCAGGCAACCAGGCUCCUCCAAUGCACAGUGGCGAGAUUGGUCUCGUCAAAUCCCCGAAUGCCGAUUGGCGCAAUUUGGUUUGUGCCCUUUCAGCUGAUUGAUUGUUGCUUUGUUUAGGCACAAAGUUUGAAUUCACCAGACUAAACCAAGCAACUCCCUGGAACUAAUUUCAGGGACGUUCAGAGCCUCGAGCCUCAGACCUAAGACAAUGAUUUCUCGGGGCUCUGUACACCCGAUAGCCCUGCUAUUUGCAGGGAUCCCAGAGGGGACUCGGGUCUAUCCAGUGAUAUGUGUCUGAUAUGUGUGACCCCUUCCAUGCCCGGGCGCGGAGCCCCUAAGUGUCCCCUCUAUGUUUUAAUGUGUGUAGCUAUUGUCCAGUUGGUAUCUCCCAGAGCGUGAGAUGGUUAUCUGCUGUAACCUGGGACUGAGGAAUUAGUACUGAAUGUAUGGAGACCCCUUUGGGGGUUUAUGCAUAAAAGAAGCCUGUUUUCAAUAAAGAUUGUCAGUUGUACCUCCAGAACUAAAUGUAAUGAUUAAAUGUGUAACCAUAAAUGCUGCUGAAAUGCUGCUUCCAUAUCCAUCUUUCAACCCCUGAUUGGCACAGUGUAGGAUUACAAGGGACAAGACUAGGCUAUAACGUUUUACCGGGCCUAUGAAUGGCCAGACUAAACGUCAGACUGAGAUUAAGCGUAAUCAGAGACGAUACAGGUCAGGGUAACAGAGGGAAAGCGAAAAAACAAGAACUAGCCAGGUACACAGUAAUCAGUGAGAUGGGCAAACAAGACAGAAAAGGGUUAAAGAAAACCUCAGAGUCAGAUACAAAACCAAGGUCAAUACCAGAAUAAAUAAUAGAUUAAGGAACGAACUAAAGUGUACUGAACUCCCCGAACGGGCAAAGUGGAUAAGGCCAGGGAAGUUUAAAUAUCCAUCAAAACCAGUACCCCUUUUAGAGCAGUACAAAUAUAGAACUGCAGAAAAACUAUGUGACAGAAAAAUAAUAAAGUUUUAUUAGAGAUAAAAAACGUAGAAAUCUUAUCAAAACCUAUCUAUAUACAUAACACUGGACUGCUUAGCUAUGUUCUGUAUGAAGCUAAUUAUAGACAAAGUGGAGCUAAUGUGCUCAUACAGAGUGCAACAUAGUUACAAUGAAUGCAGUAUCCAAUACUAAUAAAGAGUAAUAUAUUGAAAGAAUGUUGCAAAAGAGGUGGCAGAGCAGCAAUAGAUCCAAAAAAGAAAAAAAUUAUGUAUAUAUAUAUAUAUAUAUGUGUGUAACAGUCACAGUAUAGCAUCAGCUGUUGUAUUUAAAUGAACCCCCAUAAGUAAAGUGAAAUAAAGUUAUAUUAUAGAUAAAAGGGGGGAACAGUAAUCCCUCUAUGUCUAUAAAUAAUAAUAUUCAAAAUCCUACACAGUCCAAUCGAACUAAUUAAAUGGCUGGAAUCUGAUUAUAGAGUACUGAACCAGAGCUCGAAAAGAUGGGUAAAUCGAAAGGACGGGAAGAUAAAGGAUAAUUGAAAUCUUUGAAUUUUAUUGGUGGGCGGCACAUAUCACUCCUAGCCACUCGGGCUUUUGCCAUGUACGGUCUUUGAGACCUCCCACCUCUGAAUUUCAUUGGUGGUUGGCAGUUGCUACAUCCUAUUGGUUCCAGGAUUCGGCGCCAGAUGUAUAAAAGGAGAUAAGGGGUUGAUGCACAUUGUUUGCUCGUGCCCUUGAAAAAGGCGAUCUUUCGCCGAAACGCGCGUCGGGUUUUGGGUUUUUGCUAUCUAUACAUACUGUUUUAGUAUCAGCCAGACUUCUUGCAUGCUGCUCUCUAUUGAGGGACUCUUUUGCCGGCCGAGUCCUCUCUUUGAUUAGUAGCUCCGUGCAUUUAUUUUUCUCUCCAGACUAGUAGUCACUUUAUUUCAAUUAUCCUUUAUCUUCCUGUCCUUUCGAUUUACCCAUCUUUUCGAGCUCUGGUUCAGUACUCUAUAAUCAGAUUCCAGCCAUUUAAUUAGUUCGAUUGGACUGUGUAGGAUUUUGAAUAUUAUUAUUUAUAGACAUAGAGGGAUUACUGUUCCCCCCUUUUAUCUAUAAUAUAACCUUAUUUCACUUUACUUAUGGGGGUUCAUUUAAAUACAACAGCUGAUGCUAUACUGUGACUGUUACACACAUAUAUAUAUAUAUAUAUAUAUAUACAUAAUUUUUUUCUUUUUUGGAUCUGUUGCUGCUCUGCCACCUCUUUUGCAACAUUCUUUCAAUAUAUUACUCUUUAUUAGUAUUGGAUACUGCAUUCAUUGUAACUAUGUUGCACUCUGUAUGAGCACAUUAGCUCCACUUUGUCUAUAAUUAGCUUCAUACAGAACAUAGCUAAGCAGUCCAGUGUUAUGUAUAUAGAUAGGUUUUGAUAAGAUUUCUACGUUUUUUAUCUCUAAUAAAACUUUAUUAUUUUUCUGUCCCAUAGUUUUUCUGCAGUUCUAUAUUUGUACUGCUCUAAAAGGGGUACUGGUUUUGAUGGAACUAGCCUCCUCUCUUGGUAGAGGAGUAUUUUUCUUUAUCUCCUUUAUAUUCUAGGGUUAGGCCCUUUAGUACCCCUGUAACCCUUUUUUGUACUUCUUUGCCGGGUGUUUCCUGGUUAAGAGUGCUCUGUAUAUAUUCAAGUUUAAAUAUCCUUUUACUAACAUUUGAUUGGCCCACGUCAUACCUACACCCCCAAAAUGUGCGAGUGUGGGGGUGCCACUUGGGGCUCCCACUGCCCCUUUAAGAGCACGCUCGUGACGCAAGCAGCGCUCCUAGUGCCAGGCAGGCCACGUAACCGCUCACUGCAAUCAGUGCACGUGGCCCGCUCAGAAGAGGAGAUUGGGAAGGCAGGAGUGCUCGAGCCGUGGCCCCCGGCCAGCCCCCCGGAUAAGGUAAGUACUGCAACACUAAUUAAACACAAAUAAAAAUGCAAUUCGAAAAAGAAUAUACUUCUAUAGAAACACAAAUCUGUAUAUACAUAGAAUGCAGGGGCAAAUAGUGGUUUUCUGUUAAUCUAGUGGGGGCUCUGUGUGCCUUAUCAUCUGGUCUCUAGGUGUGUACAGUCAUCAGAGAAAAAUUACAGAGAAACUCAGAGAGUGCAAGCUGUGUAAAAUAAAAAGACAGAGUUAAAGUGUGUGAGUGACUGUAUUUGAUGUUGGGUGACACUCUCUCCUAGGAUGAGUUUUCCUACUUGGAUAACACCCACUCAAUAGCUUCUUAAUCCAGAUCAACAAAUUAGACACAAUAUAUUUAGGAGAAAGAUGACCUAUUAAUAUUAUGCCAUAUUCUAACUACUUUCUGUUUGUUCCUCCAGAAUGUUAAUCCUUAAAACUUUGUAUUAAUCUCAGUCUAAUUUCUUACAUUGAUGUAAUAACAUUUAUAAUUUAGAAGGUGGCACUUGUUUCUUUGUGUAGACUCAGUAGGACACUCCAUUGGUAGAUGAACUAUGGUCUCUAACCCCCAUGCCACCCCAGUAACCAGUUUUACUGCACAAAGACAGAUGAAUUCAAGGAAGCUUUCUUUCCCAGAUAUAUACAUGGCAUCACUACAGAUGGGUAUAGCUCCUACCAUUCCUUAGACUGAAACAUCUUCUAAUUUAACAAUAAAAGAGACUUCCUCCCCUGCCCCACAGUCUGUUUUUCCUGUCCACUUCACAUAGACAUAUGGUGUUUUUCAGCUCCUCUUUUUCUUUUGUGACUUACUUGGGUCUAAUAGCACCCCAGCUUAGUCAGCCUCUCUCCAAUGGAAGCUUCAGGAUAUGGUGCCUUACCAAGGGUGACCUCCUAGAGGAUUCUCCUCUCAGCGACUGGGGAGUUACACUGCAGUGUUUUUAUAGGUAGCAGCUGGAAGUGCCAGUCCCCUAAGAUGAUAAUUCCCGUUCAGGGUGUAGCAGACUCCGGUUAACCCGACUGGUUACCGCCGCUAUUUUUCCUAUAUAUACAAUCCCCCCAAAGUAUCCCUGAUAUCGACAGGAACCCCACAAGUGUCAUAUCCCCAGAUAGCCCAGAUCUGAGCGCCAAAUAGUGCUCACAUCCGUUUGGUAGAAUAGAAUCGCCACAUGGCAAAAGUUCUGACCGGCUGGCCAUGAGGCUGAAACCCAAAACAGUUCCAGGGAAAGUGGUGCCACGGCAGGUCUCCGUUCGGCAGCUCCUGUACGAACACCGUUGAAGGUAGUCUUUCGCUUCCAGGGAGGGAAUGCUUCCCUUGGUUGAUAGUCUCGUUCUCCCAAAGAGUGCUCUCCUAGCUGUUCGGGGCCUAGAGCAGGUAGUGGUAGAGUUUCUCCGAUGUUCGCUAGGUCGUCUAUCGAAAAGGGUUCCAGGCAUUUGACGACCUCGUCCCGUUCCCUGUGUUCGGAAGACAAAAUGGCCGCCAUUUCUUCGCACACAUUUGUUCAGUUAUACAAAAUGGUGGCCACCCAGGGGAAGCACUCAUUAAUUGUUACGAUUACUCCUGAACGUAAGAAAAGUCAAAUAGUCACAAUGAACAGUACGUUUCGCCACACAGCUCCCCUUCAACCACAAGCUGGCAUACACAAUCUCCACGGAACAGCUUGGAGAUGUCCCGGAGAGUACCCACGGGACAGUUCUGUUUGACGUGAUAACCCGUCAGCGUUUCUAUUCUGCUUACUGGGUUGAUAAUGGAUCAUGAAGUCAUAUGGUUGUAAGGCCAAGCUCCAACGUAAUAGCCUAGCGUUAUCCUUAGCGACCCAGUUAAGCCAUGCUAACGGGUUUUAGUCCUUGAGUAGGGUAAAUUGUUGUCCAAAGAAGUAUGGCUGAAGUUUCUUAAGAGCCCACACCACCGCAAGACAUUCCUUUUCGAUGGCGCCGUUGCUCACCUCCCUUGGUAGUAACUUUCUGCUGAGGUAGGCUACAGGGUGUUCUUCGCCAUUGUCCCCGGCCUGGCUCAGUACUGCUCCCAAUCCAAACAUGGAGGUAUCUGUGUAACUAAGAAAGCGUUUAUUUGGAUUAGGAGCAGUCAGGACGGGUGCAUUCACGGGCAAGUUCUUUCAGGUCAGGUCGGUGAGGGGUUUUGCUAGGCCUCUAUAGUUCGGCAUUACCUUAAAUUGGUAUAGACUAAAUGGAGUGACAAAUGCCGACUUUGGGAUAGCUUCUUCCGCUAAAAGGAUUUGCCAGUAUCCUUUGCAUAAGUCAAUGGUUGUAAGGUACUGGCCAUGUGCCAUUCUGUCUAGUAGCUCGUCUAUACGUGGCAUGGGCGCCAGAGACAGUCUUGUCAUUGAGCCUCCGGUAGUCUACACAAAACCAUGUUGUCCCAUCUUGUUUUGUGACGAGGAGCACCGGGGAGGCCCAGGGACUCUUAGACGCUUCUAUUGAGAGGUUGUUGUAUGGGAGUUUCUAGCUUGUGGGUGACUAGAGUGGUGAACCUGGGCGGAUUGGAGAAGGUGUUUCUCUUUGCAGAUAGCAUCUGCUGGGCUUGCCUGCGUUCCUCACUGGUUAAUCGGUCCCCUAGUUGGACCUCAUCAAUGGACCCUGCCUGAACGCCAUUCUCUAGGAGGUCAGGCAGGGGAAGAUUAUCCAAAUCUUCCGAGGUGGGAGCACAGAUAGCGGCUACGUCCUCUGUCCUCUCGUGGUAGGGUUUUAGCAUGUUAAAGUGUAACAUGCGCCGAAUCCCUUCCCCCGAGCAUGGACUGAUAACAUAAUUGAUGUCACAUUUUUGUUCCACCGCCUGAUAUGGUCCCUGCCAAGUGGCCUGUAGCUUGUCAUGUUGAACGGGUUUUAGGACCUGAACCUUCUGCCCGAUCUGAAAGCUACAGCCCCUAGCUCCCCGAUCAUACCAGGUGUGCUGGUGCUCCUGGAGGUUAUCACGUACCAAUUGAGUUCCUUCAGCUUUUCCCUGAACUCCAGCACAUAAGGUAUGCUGGGGGUCCCGUCCUGACCUACAUCUCCCUCCCAAUGUUCCUGAAUUAGAUCGAUGGGACCUCUUACUCUGCGCUCGAACAGUAACUCGAACGGAAAGAGGCCUGUAGAUUCUUGCGGCACCUCCUGUAAAGCGAACAGGAGGUGCGGCAGGAAUCUUUCCCAGUCUCGGCGGGUGGCUGCAAAGGUUCGAAGCAUCUGAUUUAAUGUACCGUGGAAGUGUUCGUACAAGCAGUUAGUCUGGGGGUGGUAUUGAUAACACAUAACUUCCACAGUUGGUGGGUCAUUUCGGCGACGAACUGGGUUCCCUGAUCUGAGGCAAUCUCCCAUUCAGGAGAACACUCGCAUCAGCGCCUCAGCCAUGGUCUCUGCCUGAAUGUUACUUAAGGCUAAUCCUUCGGUGUAUCUGGUAGCAUAGUCAAUGGUAGCAUAGUCAAUGGACAAUGGUCAGAAUAGAUUUCUAUCCAGAAGGACUAGGCUUAGCUAGGGGUCCUAUAAUAUCGACAGCUACUCUGCCGAACUGGUCAGCGAUGACUGGAAGGGGAUGGAGUUUGGCUUUGCGCCUGUCUUUCCUACCUUCUGGCAGACAUCCCAAGACUGACAGUAGUGCCUCAAGUCUUUGGAGAUGCUGGGCCAGAAAAUCUCUGGGUGAGCCGAUGCUUAGUGCAGCUUACCCCUUAAAGACCAGCUAGCUUUUUUUUUUUUUUUUAUAUAUAUGAGUUGAAAAAACACAAUGGUAAACUCAUACAUAUUCAAUAAAUUAAUUGAUAAUUGUCACAAGAAGGAAGAAAAGGAAAUUUGAUAUAGUAAAGAGACUAAAACAGUACACAGAAGAUUCACGACAAAAAGGGAUAAAGGGAAAUAAAUUUAGAUUUAAAGUGUUUUUUUUUUUUUUUCUCUCGCUUUACAGAUAUAUUUCUCCUGGCCAGGAGAAUACUUUAGCUCAUAGAUUGUUAGUAAUCUUGUGAGUUUAAAGAAGGGGCUACAAGCGACUCUCGCAAGAGGGACACUGUCGCUAUUUGAUCAGUCUCCUCAGGAUUAUGGGAAGUCCGGGGAAGGAGAUAAGUAGGAGAGAUACAUUCAAGGCCUAAGUAAAGGCAGAAAAUGUAUAGAGAUGUAUGGUUGUAAGUGUUUGUAUGUUAAGAUGAUAGCCCUUCUAGACUCCCGGUGGAGAAAAAGAAAGAGAGAAAGGGGAAAGGGGAGGAGAAAAAAGAAAAAAUAAGAAUAUAAUAUGAGAUUUGCAACAAUUAAUGCAAAAGGAAUCAAUUCUCAAUUUAAAAGAUAUACAAUUCUUGAAUUUUUGAGGAAAGAGCAAAUACAUAUAGUGGCUUUACAGGAAACACACUGGAAAUUAGAAGAGAAAAUAAAACUUAAGUCUAAGCUAUUUCCCACGAUAAUUAAUGCCUCUCUAAACCAAAAAAGAAAAAGAGGGGUAGCUUUUUUGUUUUCAAAGAAUAUUUCUUUGAAAAUUGUUCACCAAGAACUUGACACAGAAGGCCGAUACAUAAUCCUAGUGUGUGAAAUCAACAACCAAAAAUAUACAUUAGCUAAUAUUUAUGCUCCGAACCAGGCACAAAUUCCAUUUAUUAGGAAAAUAUUUAAUAGAAUUGACCAUAUUAAAACAGGCUAUGUCAUUGUUAUGGGGGACUUCAACUGCGUCUUGGACGCAGACUUGGAUAAGAGUCCCAAAUUAAAAGGUAAUAACUAUAAGAAGGUAAAAACCAAUGGGAGACUAUUUUAUGAAUUGUUGGAUUAUUGGAGGAUAUUCCAUGCAAAAGAAAGAGAUUUUUCAUGUUUCUCCAAAACAUUUUGUUCAUACUCUCGAAUUGAUCUAAUUUUGGGGGAUAAAUAUUUGGUGAAACAAGUUAAAAAAAUCCUUAUAACAUCUAUAACGUGGUCUGACCAUAAUCCAGUUAUAUUAGAAUUAAAAUAACAGUUUGAGAGAGCUAGAACAGAAUGAAGAAGGAAGGACUGGAUUUUGAGAAAUGAAAAUAACGUUAAUUAUAUUAAAAAGAUGACAGACCUUUUCUUCUUAGAAAAUAGAAACAAUGAGAUCUGUCCAGCAAUGAUGUGGUGUGCGUUUAAAUCGGUUAUGAGGGGUCAUCUCAUAAGUCUAACAGCUAAAGAAAAUAAACGGAAUGAGAAAAGGGUUAAUCUAGCUGAGCUAUAUGUAAGGUUGGAUGAUUUGCUUUAUCAAAAUAAAAGAAACCCUUUGAAUAAUAUUACCAACUCUAUAACAGAAAUAGAAAAACUAAUAAAUGACCAAUUGUUAGUAAAAGCUAAUAAGGCCUUAAUAGCCAUGAAACAAAAGUGGUAUUAUACAGGAAACAGAGCAGAAGCACUGAUGUCAAAUAGACUAAAGAAAGAAAGAGCUAAAAAGGUUAUAACUAAAAUUUUAUACAAUGGGGAAACCCUAUUAAAUCCAGAAAAAAUAGGAGAGGCUUUUAAAAAAUUAUUAUGAUUUAUAUAAUAUUUCGAAUCAAAUAACUAAACUAUAAAUUAGAGAGUUCUUAAAAACUAUUAAAAUCCUGAAAAUUACAGAUUUACAACUACAAGAAUUGAAUAAAGUAUUUGAAGAAGAUGAAUUGAUCUUUUGUAUUAAUAAACUUAAAAAAAAAUACAUCCCCAGGACCAGAUGGGUUUGACAAUCUCUUCUAUAAAUUACUGAAAAAUAAUAUCAAAACAGAUUUGAUUGAAGUUUUUAAUUCCUUUGCAACAACCGAAAAGAUUCCAACAGAAUUAUUACAAGCAAAUAUAGUCCCAAUUCCUAAACAAGGAAAAAGAUAUAGAAAAAAUCAAGAAUUAUCGUCCAAUUUCCCUUUUAAAUACAGAUAUAAAGUUAUAUUCGGCCAUGAUAGCAGAACGUUUAAAAAGGAUGAUAUUAAAUUUGAUAGACAGGGAUCAGGUGGGAUUUGUCCCUGGCAGAUCAUCCACCCAUUAUAUAAGAAGACUGAUUGAUGUGCUGGAUUACGCAACAAAAACCGGCGCUCCCAUGUUGGCCCUGUCUUUAGAUGCUGAAAAAGCAUUUGACAGGGUCAACUGGGAGUUCAUGAGACAAACCCUUCAUGCGUUUGGGUUAGAGGGAAGACUUUUUCAGAAUAUAUCAGCUCUUUAUACAACACCUACGGCUAGAGUGGUAGGAAAUGGCUUUGGAUCUGAAUGGUUCUCAUUGCUUAACGGAACAAGACAAGGAUGUUCCUUGUCUCCGUUACUUUACAUCAUGGCAUUAGAACCAUUGGCCUUAGCCAUAAGACAAGACCAAGGAAUAGUAGGUUUUGAUUUUAAUAAAGUAAGUAUAAAAAUAAACUUAUAUGCUGAUGAUAUCAUCUUAACAAUUCAAAAACCUCUACAAUCUAGAAUACAACUUAUGGAAACCAUUGGGAGUUUUUCCCAGGUCUCUGGAUACAAAAUAAACAUAGAAAAAUCAUCGAUUUUAGCGAUAAAUGUAAAUAAAGAAGAAAAAAAUGAGAUCAUGAAGAAAUUUAAUUUCACAUGGGUCGAAAACUCAUUUAACUAUCUAGGAAUUAAUAUAUGUACCGACCCAUUGAAAAUAGUAGAGAUUAAUUUUCUUCCAUUGCUGAUUAAAACGAAUAAGCUUCUAAAGGGUUGGAGGAAUUUGGAAUUUUCGUGGUGGGGCCGUAUUAAUAUUAUUAAGUCUUACAUCUUACCAAAAUGGUUAUAUUUGUUUAGAAUGAUUCCUCUGAGUGUCCCUGAUAGUUGGUUGCUAUUAAUACAACAGGCUUGGUCCAAAUUUAUAUGGCAAACAAAGAAACCUAGAAUGGCAAGAAAACUCCUCUUGAUUAGUCAAUCUAUGGGAGGGGUAGGAUCUCCACUCAUACAUCAAUACCAUAAAGCAAAUAUCCUUUUCUAUAGUAUUAUUUCACAAUCGAGGGGGGCUAAGUUAGAGAAGUGGUACGUGGUGGAAAAGGAACUUGCAGAAGGUAGGGAACUAGUAAAUUUUUUUGGUUUACUCAAGAAGGAGAUAUAAAUAAGAUCCAACCAAGCUCUGGUAGUGUGGUAAUUGAAUCCAUUAGAGGAAUGUGGAGUAAGAUAAAAAAAAGUGCAGGAUUUAAAAACCACAUUAUUAAUACUCUACCGAUCUCAAUAUUGGAAAAUAAUAUGCGAGACAUAAGUUUAAAUAAAUGGAAAAGAGCAGGUAUACAAACCAUAGAAGACAUAACAACAGGACCCUGGGUGAAUUCGUUUGAAUUUCAGUCUUCCCGAAACUGAGAAAUUUAAUUAUAUGAGGAUUAAAAGCUAUCUGAAUAAAACUGUAAAUAAAGAGAAAUGGGAAAUUAAUAAUAAAUUAGGAAAUUUACUGAAAGGAAAGGACAUCAAAAAUUGAUUAAAUAAGUGUAAUUCGGUAUUGAGACAACUAGAGGGCGACUCGACAUUUCCAGCAAUAAAAAAAUGGGAGAAAGUAAAAUACAAAAAAUUGAUGCUCAAGAGUGGAAUACAGCAUGGUUGACAGUUGCUAGGCGCAUUAAAUGCCUAAAUUUAGUGGAACUACAUUUUAAGAUUAUUAAUAGACUCUACUUGGUUCCUGGUCGUCUAAAAAAAAUAGACCAGAGUAAAACAGAUACAUGCUGGAGGUGUGAAGGGGGAGUGGGAGACUCCUUGCAUAUUUGGUAGAGUUGCCCCCCACUUAAAGAAUUCUGGAAAAUGUUUUUGUUUAAAAUAGAAAAGAUAACUGGAUUUAAUUUUCCUAUUGCCCCGGAAAUGUGCUUAUUAUACUUGAAUAUUUAUCAGUACAAUGUGGAUUUGCAAUAUUUCCUUGCCCAUGCAUUAAUAGCGGCAAAACUCUCCAUAGCUAAAAGGUGGAGAACCAAAACCCUUCCAAAUUGGGACAUAGUAAAAAACUUAUUAAUUUCGCAAUUUAGGAUGGAGGGAGGUCUGAAUGGAAAUCUGAGGGAAAAAAAAAUCUUCCAUAUAAAUAAGUGGUUAGAAAAACUGUUGGUAGUAGAUUAAUAGAUAGAGAAGAGGAAGGGAAGGAAGAAAGGAAGAGAGGAAAAGAAGAGAAAGGUAAAGAAAGGAAGGGAAAGAAAAAGAAAAAAAAAGAGAAAUGCUAGCUCAUAUAUUAGUACUAUGAAGAGUAAUGCAGAGAGAGGAGGGAAGAAGGUUUCAUCACCACGUAUGAAUGUUGCAUAUGAUUAUUUUAUGUUUGUGUGUGUUUAUUAAUAAUAAGGUGUUUUCUAUAAAUUAAAGUUAUUUAAUAGGAAAAAGGAGAGAGAAAGAGAACAUUGAUGAUGACGAAUAUACCAAGCCUGAGAUGCAAAGUAGUAAAGAAUAUAAGAGGCUUGUAAUGUCUGAAAUGAAAAAAAAAUAAAAAAUUUUUUAAAAAAAUAAAGACCAGCUAGGGGAAUAUCACUUGAGCAAUUCUCUUGAGUUCCCAUCUAUAUUUUCUGGGACUACUAACUGUUUGGUAGUAGUCGGGGCCUAUCCUGUAUAACAAACAUAACAGCCCACCCUUCCACAUAAACCUAUCGCCUUCUAAUCCUGCCUGACUAGUGACUACCUUGUCUCGAGACUUCUACAGGGAGGGAUCAGAGGUUACCUCCUUUUCAAACUCUUCUGGGGUAUCCCAGGGUAGUGGGGCUGGGUCUAGCGGGAUGGGAAGUGCAGGCUUGUUGCCGUGUAGUGACAGAAUAUAGUUCCUCGUUGUCGGCACAGGGUGCAAAGGCUGAGGUUAACUGGCCAAGAAAGUUGCCUAGUAGAACCUCGGCUGGUAAAUGGUUCAUCAGUCCUACCUCGGUCAUCCCAUUUCCAGCACCUCAAUUCAAGUGGACCUUGGCGGUCGAUAAGCGGUAUAUGGCUUCCCCUACUACCCGGACCACUACAGUUCCUCCAGUCUUUUCUGCUUCAGUAACUAGCUUGUUCUGGACUAGCGUUAUUGUGGCUCCUGUGUCACGUAAACCUUGGACAAUCCUCUUUCAGCUUUACAAACUGCUGAUGGUGCCUCCUUUUAUCCACUGCAGCCUGUACUGGGUCUGCCUCAUGUAGGAAACCACAGGCUUCUUCAGUGAUGGGUUGGUUAGAUAUGGUGUUUCUGCAUGAUAACAAUGGGUGCUGCCCUAGGUGCUGAUAGUGAUUCUGGUUGGACCCACUGGGAACGGUCUCUCAGCUGGGUACAGUCUCUCAUGUGCCCGUAGUGAAAGCACUGAUGGCACUGGGUGUUAGCUCUGUUUGGGGCCCUCUGCAGGGCUACUGGGGUCAGUUGGCUCCGUGGUUGUGAUAACGGAGCAGGGACAUAGGGCUGGGCAUGGCGGAGUGGCAAUCGGUAGCCGGGGCGCUGUGGUCUCCUGGCAUCCAUGUAUUCAUCUGCCCGCUGAGCAGCUUCGGUCAGGGUCAAGGGUUGUCGGUCCCUUACUCAUUCUUGUACCUCAAAAGGAUAGUCCAUUAUAAAACUGCUUGAUCAAGACAACUUGUAACAUCUCCUCUGGGGUCUUUGCUUGUUGUGCCUGCAUCCAGUUAAAGGCGGCCCUUGUUAACUGGCAUGCCCAUUCGGUGUGCGAAUCCUUUUCGCCUUUCUUUGAUUUGCAGAAUUUUCUUGCGAUAUGCUUCUUGAGGAAUAGCAUAUCUAGCCAGCAGUACUUGCUUCACCCUGGCUUAAUUACGUAGGUCUGCGUCGGGGACGGCUCUGUAUUCGUCUGUGGCCAAGAGAGGGACCUAAUCUCCGGAGGCUAGGUUGUGUAGGUGACAUAGGCGCUCAAAUCCGUUUUGUAGAAUAGAAUCACCACCGGGGUAAAGUUCUGACCGACCAUCCACGAGGUUGAUGUCCAAAACCGUUCCAGAGAAAGUGGUGCAAUGGCCAGUCUCCGUUCGAGAGUUCCUGUAUGAACACCAUUGAAGGUAGUCUUUCACUUCCAGGGAUCGAAUGAUCUCCCUGGUUGAUAGUCUCGUUCUCCCAAAGAGCGCUCUCCUAACUGUUAGGAGCAGGGAGCGGUAGAGUUUUUCCAAUGUUCGCGAGGUUGUCUGUCCGAAAAAGGUUCCAGACAUUCGAAUACCUCUUCCCACUACCUGUGUUCGGGCCACCCAGGGGAAAAACUAAUUAAUUGUUUCCUUUGCGGUUUCACACGUAUGUGUUAAUUUCUGCUCGAGUGUUCUAAUGAGGUACAGGGGGGUCCCCAUUUGGAAGCCGAACCAAGUGGGUUUGGGUACAAUAACUCCUGAACGUAAGAAAAGUCAAAUAGUCACAAUUAACUGUACGUUCCGCCACACAGAGUACACCUACCUGAUUGCAGUCCUGUGGUACACUGACUUUCUCAUCUAUGAUGGCUACUCUGGACAUAGGAGAAAUGGUGUAAGAUCAAUGGUCUGUAUGUUAAAUAAAACAGGAUUCUCCUUGAGCCAUUACAGUGCUGCUGGAGGACUCAUCUCCUUUAUCCUGAUCUUACCUUUCUCUAGGUUGAACAUGUUUAGCCCUUUUUCUCAUUUUGUUUACAGAUGGCAGUGAAUCGCACGCUGAUACUUGCCCGUCCAUUCCAACACUUUUUCCUGUUUUCUGGUCUUUCAUUCUCCUUGUUUAUCGGUGGAAUACUGAAAUUUGAGCGUGUGUUCCUUCUUGCUUACCUCAUUUCCGGCUCCAGGUAUAAUAUCCUAUCAGGACGCUCACACCAGCGUUGGAACACAAGCCAGGAGAGGGCCUAUGCUGGAUUCUCCCAGGCUUCCUGUAAUUUCUAUUCAGUACUUAAACGCUGCCUCUUGCCUCCAGGGCCGGACUGGGAAUUAAAAGCAGCCCUGGAAAAAAAAUAUUUACCAGCCCCAUAAUGCAUCGCGCCAGCAUAGUGUGCAGAUACAGAGUUAGAACAGAUAACUUAAAAUUAAAAAGUACUUCAACGUAAAAAGCGCACUUAUAGGCUUUAAAAUAAACAAAAGUGCAGAUUUAUUUUAUAUCUCCCCCUCCUUUCCCUGUGUCUCUCCCCCUCCUCCCCAUCUCUCUCCCUCCCCCUUUCCCUGUGUCUCUCCCCAUCUCUCUCCCCCCCUUUCCCUGUGUCUCUCCCCCCUCCUCCCCAUCUCUCUCCCUCCCACUUUCCCUGUGUCUCUCCCCAUCUCUCUCCCUCCCCGCUUUCCCUGUGUCUCUCCCUCCUCCCUCUAUUCCCCUCUCCCCCCCCCUUACCUGGAGAAGUCAGGGGGCCGUCCGCGUUCCUGGCUGGAGCCGCCGGGCCGGGUGGCAGCUUCCUGUGCCGGGAACCGCGAGGGAGCAUGGUACAGAGACAUGCUCCUCCUCCAUCAGCCAUAGCAGUGAGCAGGGGAGGGCUGGCAGCCUUAGGCCUGGGGGGCAAAACCAGUCAAGUGGCCCAUUGCACCACCAAAUCAGUUCACCAUCCAUGCCCACCUUUUCCUGGUUUUAUAACGGAUAUUGAUGUUAUGCUAAUCAGUAGCUCUUUGCCAUACCCGCUCCUUCACGGCUCCAGGCACUGCUUGUUGUGAGUGUGAGCCACUGUAAAUUAAGGGCAGAGGGCACUUGCACUGCGGUAAAGAUGGGGCUGGGCAGGAGGAGAGUGCAGUGCAAUCAGUGCACUCCCCUCCUGUGGGUCACCAGUAGACUGGUGCACCUGCCCAGGAUCAGAGCCGGUGCAAGGAUUUUUGCCGCCCUAGACAAAAUAAAAAUUUGCUGCCCCCCAUGUGACAUCACAAUGCCCCACCCAUAUGAACUAACGCCAGUGCUGCACACAGUGUGUGUUUACAUUAAAAAGCCUGCAGGGACCAGCUAUAGACACCAGAACCACUUCAUUAAGCUAUAGUGUCCCUUUAAUGUGAGGUACAUUAUAGAUUAGUGUCACUAAUAAUAUACUAGAUUGCCUACUUACAAGCAGAUGAGGAUGAUGAUGGGCUGCAGUUUGGCUCCACUGGUCUGGUGUAGAACAGGAUCUCUGGAGGCUGUUUGCAACUGUGGUCACAAAAUUCAAUGUUCUGGGAGAAUUGGAAGCAGCUCCAUUUUUGGGGCCCCUUACACAGCUCAAGGUCUGGGCCCCAGGGCCUGACGGUGAGUAUGCCCAUAAGGCCCACUCAUAAGUUCCACCCACCCAUGAGUUCGCUCACAGGGAGUGGAGUGUGUAGGGGAUGUGUUAUGUGUUAUUGUAGAGGAUCUAAUAUGUGUGCUUAUGGUAUGUAGUGUAUGGGGUUACCAGUUUGUGCAGGUGAUGUAGUGUGUUUGUGUGUAGUGGAAGCAGUGUGUAUUUGUGUAUAAGGGAUGUAUUAUGUGUUUCUGGUUGUGUGUAAGGGAUGCAUUGUGUGACUCUGUUUGUAUGCAUAAGGGAUGCAAGGUGUGUGUGUCUGUAUGUGUGUGCAUUGAGUGUAAGAGAUGCAUUGUGUUUCUGUGUGUAUGUAAGAAAAGAAGUGUGUGUGUUUGCAUGUGUGUGUACGGGUUUGCAUUGUCUGUUUCUGUGUAUGUGUGCAAAGGAUGCAUUGUCUUUGUGUGUAGGGGUUGCAUUGUGUGUGUGUGUGUGUGUGUGUACGCGCGCGUAGUGUGAAAGAGCUCCCUGUCUUGGCCCCUGUCCUAUAGAGCUGCCCCUUCUGUCCCGUAGAGCUCUCCCCUGCACCUUAGUGGUCUCUUCUCUCCCCCACCCUCCCCUAGCGGUCUCUUCUCACACUCACCCACCCUCCCUGUGCUCUUCUCAUCCCCCCCUCCACCCUCCCUGUGUUCUUCUCACUCCUCCCUCUAUGUGUUCUCCUCACACACCCUGUGUUCGUCUUACCCCCCUCCUCCCUGUGUUCUUCUUACUUCCCCCCUUGGUCGUCUUACUCCCCCACCUGUUCUUCUUACCCCCCUUCUUAUUGCUCCCCCUUCUUCUUCUUACCCCCCUUCUUCUUACCCCCCCUUCUUCUUCCUCCCCCUUCUUACUCUUCUUCUUUUCUUUCUUAAUACCUCCUUUUUCUUCUUACCCUUCUUCUUUCUUCUUACUCCCCACUCUUUUUCUUACUCACCCCUUCUUCUUUUACCCUCUUUUUUUCUUAUCUCCCCUCCUUCUACUCCCCUUCUCCCUUACUUCCCCUCUUUUUCUUUUUACUUCCUCCUUCUUCUUAGCUUCCAUCUUUUACUCACCCCUUCUUCUUCUUACCCCUUUUUUUCAUUCUUCCUCUUCUAUUCCCCCCUCCUCUUCUUAUUCUCCUCUUCUUAUUCCCCAUCCUCUUCUUAUUCUCUUAUUCCCUCUCCUCUUUUUUUAUUCCCUCCCUCCCUUUCUUUCUUAUACUCUCCUUCUCCCUCUUCUACCCUCCUGUGCUGCAGCCAGCUGCACUCCGCCCCAUGGGUGGUCGGCCGAGUGAUAGGGAUGGCACACUCGGGAGUGUCAAGUCCGUUACAGGAAACAGAAACUCCAUGCGGAACAGGAGUUUCUGUUUCCUGUAACCGGCCGGACUGACAGGAAGUGCACACUCAGUGUGCACCAUCCUAUCAAUCCGGCCGGCCGGCCACCGCGGACCGGAGUGCAGCUCGGCCACGCUACAGGGGAGGGGGUAAGAAGAGAGGGAGAAGCUGCAGCCGCCUGAGGCUCUUAACAGAGCGCACGGGCGGCUGCAGUAUUUAAAGGGCCGGCCCAGGAACGCGGCCGGCCCCCAGGUGCCGCGGCCCACCGGGAAAUUUCCCGGUAUCCCGGUGGGCCAGUCCGGCCCUGCUUGCCUCUCAGGAUCCCUGAUUUCUGCAUGACAGACAAAGAGAACUCCCUUAUUACAUUCACCUUUAUUCUCGCGGUUUGCUCCUGGCCACUUGGUGGCAGAUACAUGCUUCAUUCUUAUUUCUGUUGCAUCUUUCUGCCUGAUAUUAUUAUUAAUAUAUUUCUCCAGGGAAUUCUGCCUAGAGAUUAAUUAUUUUAUGGAUGGGUAAUCAUUGUAUAUAUCCUUGGAUAACUAUUAUUAAUCUGUUUCUGGUUUGUGUGUGUAUUUCUUGCUGGACAUGGGAGCUAAAAAUGUUAAUUUCAUUUUCUAGCUGCAAAUUUCAAGAUAGAGUCCAAUGGCCACUCAUCAC